ACAGUGGACGCGAGCAUCUGUGGCCAAGUUUUUAAGGGCGCACGGUGGAUGCCUUGGCACCAGGAACCGAUGAAGGACGUGGGAGGCCACGAUAGUCCCCGGGGAGCCGUCAACCAGGCUUUGAUCCGGGGGUUUCCGAAUGGGGAAACCCGGCAGUCGUCAUGGGCUGUCACCCAUACCUGAACACAUAGGGUAUGUGGAGGGAACGCGGGGAAGUGAAACAUCUCAGUACCCGCAGGAAGAGAAAACAACCGUGAUUCCGGGAGUAGUGGCGAGCGAAACUGGAUGAGGCCAAACCGUAUGCGUGUGAGACCCGGCAGGGGUUGCGUAUACGGGGUUGUGGGAUCUCUCUUUUACGGUCUGCCGGCCGUGAGACGAGUCAGAAACCGUUGAUGUAGGCGAAGGACAUGCGAAAGGUCCGGCGUAGAGGGUAAGACCCCCGUAGUCGAAACAUCAGCGGCUCGUUUGAGAGACACCCAAGUAGCACGGGGCCCGAGAAAUCCCGUGUGAAUCUGGCGGGACCACCCGCUAAGCCUAAAUAUUCCCUGGUGACCGAUAGCGGAUAGUACCGUGAGGGAAUGGUGAAAAGUACCGCGGGAGCGGAGUGAAAUAGUACCUGAAACCGUGUGCCUACAAGCCGUGGGAGCGUCGCGCAUCGAGUUUACUCGGUGCGUCGUGACUGCGUGCCUUUUGAAGAAUGAGCCUGCGAGUUUGCGGUGUGUUGCGAGGUUAACCCGUGUGGGGAAGCCGUAGCGAAAGCGAGUCCGAAUAGGGCGAUUUAGUAGCGCGCUCAAGACCCGAAGCGGAGUGAUCUAGCCAUGGGCAGGUUGAAGCGGAGGUAAGACUUCGUGGAGGACCGAACCCACCAGGGUUGAAAACCUGGGGGAUGACCUGUGGUUAGGGGUGAAAGGCCAAUCAAACUCCGUGAUAGCUGGUUCUCCCCGAAAUGCAUUUAGGUGCAGCGUCGUGUGUUUCUUGCCGGAGGUAGAGCACUGGAUAGGCGAUGGGCCCUACCGGGUUACUGACCUUAGCCAAACUCCGAAUGCCGGUAAGUGAGAGCGCGGCAGUGAGACUGUGGGGGAUAAGCUCCAUGGUCGAGAGGGAAACAGCCCAGAGCAUCGACUAAGGCCCCUAAGCGUACGCUAAGUGGGAAAGGAUGUGGAGUCGCACAGACAACCAGGAGGUUGGCUUAGAAGCAGCCACCCUUGAAAGAGUGCGUAAUAGCUCACUGGUCUAGUGAUUCCGCGCCGACAAUGUAGCGGGGCUCAAGCGUACCGCCGAAGUCGUGUCAUU
rnacentral:rRNA from 1 species